AUCGGCUUAGUUCAAUGGUAGAACAGCGGUCUCCAAAACCGUCAGCGUUGGUUCGAAUCCUUCAGCCGGUGCCA
rnacentral:tRNA from 1 species